AUUGAACGCUGGCGGCAUGCCUUACACAUGCAAGUCGAACGGCAGCACGGGAGCAAUCCUGGUGGCGAGUGGCGAACGGGUGAGUAAUGUAUCGGAACGUGCCCAGUCGUGGGGGAUAACGUAGCGAAAGCUACGCUAAUACCGCAUACGAUCUAUGGAUGAAAGCGGGGGACCGUAAGGCCUCGCGCGAUUGGAGCGGGCGAUACCAGAGUAGGUAGUUGGUGGGGUAAAGGCCUACCAAGCCGACGAUCUGUAGCUGGUCUGAGAGGACGACCAGCCACACUGGGACUGAGACACGGCCCAGACUCCUACGGGAGGCAGCAGUGGGGAAUUUUGGACAAUGGGCGCAAGCCUGAUCCAGCAAUGCCGCGUGCAGGAUGAAGGCCUUCGGGUUGUAAACUGCUUUUGUACGGAGCGAAAAGGCUCUCUCUAAUACAGGGGGCUCAUGACGGUACCGUAAGAAUAAGCACCGGCUAACUACGUGCCAGCAGCCGCCGUAA
rnacentral:rRNA from 1 species